AAUGUUAAACACAGCAGCCUAUAAGUACACGCAUCUCUGAUGCACACUCAGUUCCUGCCUGACAUCAGACACGAAACAUGGACUUCAUCAAGGGUACAGCGGAUGGGAAAGUGGACAAGUUAAUCGAUCAGGCUGCUGAUGUUGCCAAAGAGAAAGUUGGAGCAAUAAUCGGAGGAGACAAGAAAAAGGCAGGAGGUGCAAAAGGCCAGAAAGAGGGUGGAGACAAAGGCCCCGCUGAUCAGGCUGUGGACAUUGGGAAGGGCCUGUUCAAGUGAGCCUGCAUACUUUGAACAUGAACUUUCUCACUCAUCACUGGACUCUAACUGGACCCCACAAUCCUGCAUUGUUUAAACUUUGUAUGGCAGCACUGAAUGUUUCUCCGGAAGCUGUAUGUUUUAUGUCAUCUUGAAACAGGCAAUGCCUAUAUUUCUGUUAAAUAUGCUGUAGUUAAAGUUAAUUAUAAUUAUUAAUUACACAAAGCCAAUAAAACUGAUGCUUAACGUGAUGCAAAUAAAGAACUGUGUCUCAGAGGGAGAUUGAGUUAGUAUACAUGGUGAGUUUUUUUUUUAUGCUUGAAAUGCUUUCUGUAAUAUUGUUAAACAUGAUGCCAUGUUUUAAGAUAAGACAAACCAGCUAAUACCACAAAACAUCACAGAACUAAUAAAAUCCAUUACUAAUA